UCCGAGCCUGUGGAUCUAAACGUAUGGCGCAUGAUGCACAGGCCGCAUGUCGAAAAAUCACGGGCUGCUAUCGCGGCUCCCGACAUAGGGCAAAACCGGAAACGAUUCUGCCUUCCGUGUUUGAAAAGGAGUUGUGGA
rnacentral:ncRNA from 1 species